rnacentral:rRNA from 1 species
GAGAGUUUGAUUCUGGCUCAGAACGAACGCUAGCGGCGCGUUUAAGGCAUGCAAGUCGAACGGUAUUAGACUGGUUUUCCGGUCUAACGAGUGGCGCACGGGUGAGUAACGCGUAGGUAAUCUGCCUUUUGGUAUGGGAUAGCCCUACGAAAGUAGGAUUAAUACCAUAUAGUUUUCUAAAUGCUUAUGUUUUUAGAAAUAAAGAUUUAUCGCCAAUAGAUGAGCCUGCGUCAGAUUAGCUUGUUGGUGGGGUAACAGCCUACCAAGGCAUCGAUCUGUAGCUGAGUUGAGAGACUGGUCGGCCACAUUGGGACUGAGACACGGCCCAGACUCCUACGGGAGGCAGCAGCUAAGAAUCUUCCGCAAUGGUCGCAAGACUGACGGAGCGACGCCGCGUGAGUGAUGAAGGCCUUUACGGUUGUAAAGCUCUUUUAUCGGGGAUGAAUGUAUGUAUUUAGUAUAUACUGACAGUACCCGUUGAAUAAGGUCCGGCUAACUACGUGCCAGCAGCCGCGGUAACACGUAGGGACCUAGCGUUGUUCGGAAUUACUGGGCGUAAAGGGUAUGUAGGCGGCUUAAUAAGUCAGAUGUGAAAUCUCCGGGCUUAACCUGGAGGCUGCGUCUGAUACUGUUAGGCUUGGGUUGCUGAGAGGAGAGUGGAAUUCCUGGUGUAGGGGUGAAAUCUAUAGAUAUCAGGAAGAACAUCGGUAGCGAAGGCGGCUCUCUGGCAGUUAACCGACGCUGAGGUACGAAAGGUAGGGUAGCAAACAGGAUUAGAGACCCUGGUAGUCCUACCCGUAAACGUUGUAUACUAGGUGGUGGAUGUAUUGAUACUUUCACUGCCGGAGCUAACGCAUUAAGUAUACCGCCUGGGGAGUAUGCCGGCAACGGUGAAACUCAAAGGAAUUGACGGGGGCCCGCACAAGCAGUGGAGCAUGUUGUUUAAUUCGAUGGUACGCGAGGAACCUUACCAGGUCUUGACAUAUACCUGCCGUCUGUAGAGAUACAGAUUUCCUUCGGGACGGGUAUACAGGUGCUGCAUGGUUGUCGUCAGCUCGUGUCGUGAGGUGUUGGGUUAAGUCCCGCAACGAGCGCAACCCCUAUCCCUUGUUGCUAACGCGUAAUGGUGAGUUCUCGAGGGAAACUGCCGGUGACAAAUCGGAGGAAGGUGGGGACGAGGUCAAAUCAUCACGGCCCUUAUGACCUGGGCUACAAACGUGCUACAAUGGGCGAUACAAAGAGUUGCGAACCCGCGAGGGGCAGCUAAUCUCAAAAAGUCGUCCUCAGUUCGGAUUGGAGUCUGCAACUCGACUCCAUGAAGCUGGAAUUGCUAGUAAUCGCAUAUCAGCAAUGAUGCGGUGAAUACGUUCCCGGGCCUUGUACACACCGCCCGUCACAUCACCCGAGUUGACUAUACCCGAAGUAUCCGGGCUAACCGGUUUUCCGGAGGCAGGGUCCGAAGGUAUGGUUGGCAAGGGGGGUGAAGUCGUAAC